UUUUUUAGCUGUGCACACGGGGCGCCAUGAGCAUACACUAGUGUGUGGAGACGGCGCCAUACAAGUGGACAUUAUUAUUACUUGUCCUUCCCACCCAGAAGCUGUCUGCAGAUCCAACUACUGCGGAGGCUGCAAUGCCGAAUUCUUCAUAAAAGUGGAAUGUUCAGAUGCAACAUCUUAACUUCAGCAUGGGAGAAUAAAACUGUUACAUGAA